AAUAACAAGAAGGCAUGUGUGGGGCAUAAUAGAGAAUGCAAAGAAAGGGUUGCUAUUGAGUGUGAUAUUGGGACAAUGACAUACCAUUUUUUUGCAUUGUCUAUUAUGUCCCACACAUGCCUCCUUGUUAUU